rnacentral:rRNA from 1 species
AGUGAACGCUGGCGGUAGGCCUAACACAUGCAAGUCGGACGGCAGCACAGUAAGAGCUUGCUCUUAUGGGUGGCGAGUGGCGGACGGGUGAGGAAUACAUCGGAAUCUACUUUUUCGUGGGGGAUAACGUAGGGAAACUUACGCUAAUACCGCAUACGACCUACGGGUGAAGGCAGGGGACCUUCGGGCCUUGCGCGAUU